CAGGCCUAACACAUGCAAGUCGAACGGAGAUUGCAUUUAUGCUUUCUUAGUGGCGAACGGGUGAGUAACGCGUAGACAACCUACCUUCUAGAUGGGGACAACACUGCGAAAGUGGUGCUAAUACCGAAUGUUGUAUUAAGUGUGCAUAUGCUAAAUACUAAAGGUGGCCUCUAUUCAUAAGCUACCACUAGAAGAUGGGUCUGCGUCUGAUUAGCUAGUUGGUGAGGUAAUGGCUCACCAAGGCGACGAUCAGUAGCCGGUCUGAGAGGAUGAACGGCCACACUGGGACUGAGACACGGCCCAGACUCCUACGGGAGGCAGCAGUGGGGAAUCUUCCGCAAUGGACGAAAGUCUGACGGAGCAACGCCGCGUGAGUGAAGAAGGUUUUCGGAUCGUAAAACUCUGUUUUCAGGGACGAUGUGCGAUGUGUAAAUAAUGCAUUGUAAUGACGGUACCUGAGUAGAAAGCCACGGCUAACUACGUGCCAGCAGCCGCGGUAAUACGUAGGUGGCAAGCGUUGUCCGGAAUUAUUGGGCGUAAAGCGCGCGCAGGUGGGAUAUUAAGUCUGGUGUUAAAGUUCGGGGCUCAACCCCGUGAAGCAUUUGGAAACUGAUAUUCUUGAGUGCAGGAGAGGAAAGUGGAAUUCCUAGUGUAGCGGUGAAAUGCGUAGAUAUUAGGAGGAACACCAGUGGCGAAGGCGACUUUCUGGACUGUGUCUGACACUGAGGCGCGAAAGCCAGGGUAGUGAACGGGAUUAGAUACCCCGGUAAUCCUGGCCGUAAACGAUGGGUACUAGGUGUUGGGGGUAUCGACCCCUCCAGUGCCGGAGUUAACGCAAUAAGUACCCCGCCUGGGGAGUACGGCCGCAAGGUUGAAACUCAA
rnacentral:rRNA from 1 species